rnacentral:lncRNA from 1 species
GUUAUCCCUGCAUCAGGUAUGAAGAGAGGAAAACAUGCAUGCAAAAAGCUUUUCCCAAAAAAUAGUAAUUGAUUGAAAAAAUCCACUCCUACGACGAAAUCAAGAUCGACAAUCAUCUGUAAACAUUAAUCUCAACACCUAUUAAUAAAAAACUCAUCUAAAGUAAUUAAAAUUUAUUGUUCAAAUAUAUCGGACAUUUAGCAGGAA